ACGUAGGAGGCAAGCGUUAUCCGGAGUUACUGGGCGUAAAGGGCGUGCAGGCGGUUGGCUAAGUUCGUUGUGAGAGCGCCCAGGCUUAACCGGGAGAGGACGUGCGAGACUGUCGGACUAGAGGCAGGUAGAGGCAAGUGGAAUUCCGGGUGUGGUGGUGAAAUGCGUAGAGAUCCGGAGGAACACCAGUGGCGAAGGCGAUUCGCUGGGCCUACUCUGACGCCCAGACGCGACAGCAUGGGGAGCGAACGG
rnacentral:rRNA from 1 species